CGGAGGGUGCAAGCGUUAUCCGGAUUUACUGGGUUUAAAGGGUGCGUAGGUGGGCAGUUAAGUCAGUGGUGAAAUCUCCGAGCUUAACUCGGAAACUGCCAUUGAUACUAUCUGUCUUGAAUAUCCUGGAGGUGAGCGGAAUAUGUCAUGUAGCGGUGAAAUGCUUAGAUAUGACAUAGAACACCAAUUGCGAAGGCAGCUCACUACGGGAUUAUUGACACUGAGGCACGAAAGCGUGGGGAUCAAACAGGAUUAGAUACCCUGGUAGUCCACGCCCUAAACGAUGGAUACUCGACAUACGCGAUAUACUGUGUGUGUCUGAGCGAAAGCAUUAAGUAUCCCACCUGGGAAGUACGAUCGCAAGAUUG
rnacentral:rRNA from 1 species